rnacentral:rRNA from 1 species
AUUGAACGCUGGCGGCAUGCUUUACACAUGCAAGUCGAACGGUAACAGGCCGCAAGGUGCUGACGAGUGGCGAACGGGUGAGUAAUGCAUCGGAACGUGCCCAGUCGUGGGGGAUAACGCAGCGAAAGCUGCGCUAAUACCGCAUACGAUCUAUGGAUGAAAGCGGGGGACCGUAAGGCCUCGCGCGAUUGGAGCGGCCGAUGUCGGAUUAGGUAGUUGGUGGGGUAAAGGCUCACCAAGCCAACGAUCGGUAGCUGGUCUGAGAGGACGACCAGCCACACUGGGACUGCGACACGGCCCAGACUCCUGCGGGAGGCAGCAGUGGUGAAUUUUGGACAAUGGGCGCAAGCCUGAUUCAGCAAUGCCGCGUGCAGGAAGAAGGCCUUCGGGUUGUAAACUGCUUUUGUACGGAACGAAACGGUCCUGGUUAAUACCUGGGGCUAAUGACGGUACCGUAAGAUUAAGCACCGGCUAACUACGUGCCAGCAGCCGCGGUAAAAC